GAUGAACGCUAGCGGGAGGCUUAACACAUGCAAGUCGAGGGGCAGCACGAGGUAGCAAUACUUUAGUGGCGACUGGCGCACGGGUGAGUAACACGUAUGCAACCUACCCUGUACCGGGGGAUAACCCGGAGAAAUUCGGACUAAUAUCCCAUAAAGAUAAUGAUGGGCAUCCAUUAUUAUUUACAGCUCAGGCGGUACGGGAUGGGCAUGAGGAACAUUAGCUAGUUGGUAGGGUGACGGCCUACCAAGGCUACGAUGUUUAGGGGACCUGAGAGGGUGCUCCCCCACACUGGUGAUGAGACACGGAACAGACUCCUACGGGAGGCAGCAGUGAGGAAUAUUGGUCAAUGGGCGCAAGCCUGAACCAGCCAUCCCGCGUGAAGGAAGAAGGCGCUAUGCGUCGUAAACUUCUUUUCCAGGGAGUGAAUUUUCCGGUGGUGACCGGAAUUGACGGUACCCUGGGAAUAAGCAUCGGCUAACUCCGUGCCAGCAGCCGCCGUAAAAC
rnacentral:rRNA from 1 species